UAGGGAAUCUUCGGCAAUGGGGGCAACCCUGACCGAGCAACGCCGCGUGAGUGAAGAAGGUUUUCGGAUCGUAAAGCUCUGUUGUAAGAGAAGAACGUGUGUGAGAGUGGAAAGUUCACACAGUGACGGUAACUUACCAGAAAGGGACGGCUAACUACGUGCCAGCAGCCGCGGUAAUACGUAGGUCCCGAGCGUUGUCCGGAUUUAUUGGGCGUAAAGCGAGCGCAGCCGGUUUAAUAAGUCUGAAGUUAAAGGCAGUGGCUUAACCAUUGUUCGCUUUGGAAACUGUUAAACUUGAGUGCAGAAGGGGAGAGUGGAAUUCCAUGUGUAGCGGUGAAAUGCGUAGAUAUAUGGAGGAACACCGGUGGCGAAAGCGGCUCUCUGGUCUGUAACUGACGCUGGGGCUCGAAAGCGUGGGGAGCAAACAGG
rnacentral:rRNA from 1 species